GUUGAAGAACGUAGUGAAAUGCGAUAAUUAAUGUGAAUUGCAGAAUUCAGUGAAUCAUCGAAUCUUUGAACGCACAUUGCGCCCCCUGGUAUUCCGGGGGGCAUGCCUGUUCGAGCGUCAUUACAACCCUCAAGCUCUGCUUGGUAUUGGGCCCCGCCAGUUCUGGCGGGCCCUAAAGUCAGUGGCGGUGCCUUCCGGCUCCGAGCGUAGUAAUUCUUCUCGCUCUGGAGACCCGGUUGUGUGCUUGCCAACAACCCCCAAUUUUUUAAGGUUGACCUCGGAUCAGGUAGGGAUACCCGCUGAACUUAAGCAUAUCAAUAAGCGGAGGA
rnacentral:misc_RNA from 1 species